UACGGAGGGGGCAAGCGUUGUCCGGAUUUAUUGGGCGUAAAGAGCGUGUAGGCGGCUAGGUAGGUCCGUUGUGAAAACUCGAGGCUUAACCUCGAGACGCCGGUGGAAACCAUCUAGCUAGAGUCCGGAAGAGGAGAGUGGAAUUCCUGGUGUAGCGGUGAAAUGCGCAGAUAUCAGGAAGAACACCCGUGGCGAAGGCGGCUCUCUGGUACGUGACUGACGCUGAGACGCGAAAGCGUGGGGAGCGAACAGG
rnacentral:rRNA from 1 species